UACGAAGGGGGCUAGCGUUGCUCGGAAUCACUGGGCGUAAAGGGUGCGUAGGCGGGUCUUUAAGUCAGGGGUGAAAUCCUGGAGCUCAACUCCAGAACUGCCUUUGAUACUGAAGAUCUUGAGUCCGGGAGAGGUGAGUGGAACUGCGAGUGUAGAGGUGGAAUUCGUAGAUAUUCGCAAGAACACCAGUGGCGAAGGCGGCUCACUGGCCCGGUACUGACGCUGAGGUGCGAAAGCGUGGGGAGCAAACAGG
rnacentral:rRNA from 1 species